AUUCGUGUGUUGAUAUUUUACAAAUAGUUUCUACACAUUUGCUGUCUACUAAUAGCUCAACUCUUUGUAGGUGUCGCUCAUUUAUCAAACUAUCCUGCAACAAGGGUUUUUAUCAACCCAGAACACUAUAAUGUGGAUCGGCUAAAAAAGAGUUUGACAGAAGAAAAAAAAAGUUCCAGAUGUCGUGUUUAUGCCAAAUCAACCAAAACCAGCUGAGUUAACUAAGAAA